AUAGUUAAAGACAUCCAUGUAUGU
rnacentral:siRNA from 1 species